GGUCCCGUGGUCCAGCGGCCACGACUCCUGGCUUACAUCCAGGCAACGAUGGUUCGAGUCCAUCCGGGAUCAC
rnacentral:tRNA from 1 species